GGAAGAGACCAUAGACUCAACAGGAGGGGGAGUCCUGGGUAGCGCGCCGGUCUAAAUCGUUACUUGGCGGAAAGUUCCCAUGAGUCUUUGCCAGCGUCCCCCUCCUUUUGUGAGGAUUGGGAUAUUCCGACUCCUUAAGGGCCUGGCGCACAUAAGGGCCACAUCUGCCAGAGCCUGGAGUCUGCGAAGGCCGGGACCCGGUUCCCCGGCCCACAGUGGGGGUGUGCAAACCCGAGAGAACUGGUCGCUGAAACCUCUACAACUUAGUUGACCGUAACUGCCAGAGCCCUGCCCUGAAUUCCUGUCCUUACUCCCUCUUUAAGAUUGCGUACCCACUGCAGAGUGCUGAAGACGGGGUAGCCACGAGGUGAGAGGCUCUCUGGUGUAGGGUUUAACAUGGAACGUAGUUUUGUCACUUGAAUGCACGGAAAUUGGCGUUUUGACAGUUUUCUACGUUUAGGUGUUUUAUACACUUUAGGGUAACGUUAUCAUGUCAUUGCAUAGGGUGGAACUUAAAUAGAAACUGGAGAUGGCUGCUUCAGCCACAGUCCUAACCUAGAACUGCAUUUAAAGCAAACUGAUAAUGCAGAAACAAACUCCUUCGUUAAGAAAUGUCUCCAGUAGCAGGGUUAGCUUAAGUUUCAGGUAGGGUCUAGAUCUGCGGUUGGAACAGUACUGGAGGGUUGUGAGGUGCUUGACUGCUCUGAUGAAAUCACUAAUAGGAAGUGCCGUCAGAAGCGAUAACUGACGAAGACUACUCCUGUCUGAUUGCAGUCAAGUCUUCACCACUUGCUGGUUCCCAGGAGUAAACUUGUUUGAACGGUGACCUAAUUGCUAUAUUCACCUAGGUUGCAAAUUCGUGAAGAAUCAGCAUCAUGUUUGGCAGCUGAGUAUUGGAGCCAGGAGCCUGCCAUGAGGUUUUGAGAACAGAGUGCUGUUUUAGAGCUGGCAGCAGCAUCUCAGCCCAAGAGAAGGUUAUAUUCCCAGAGGAUGUCAGUCCCAAGGACCAGUAGCUGCCAUCAGUUUGGAUUCUGAAAACUAACUGGCAUCAACACUGGGUGUAGAAACAUGCUUGCCUUAUGUAUCAGAGGACAUGCUCAGCAGAUCCAAGAGAUAUAUUUGGCAACUUUUUCUAGAAAAGGCACAUUGGGUAUCAUUCAUUACAUUCUUGAGUUUUUUUGGGUUUUUUUUUUUUUUUUUGAGACAGUCUUGCUGUAUUGCCCAGGCUGGAGUGUGGUGGCACAAUCACAGCUCAUUGCAUCCUCAAUCACCCAGGCCUAAGCAAUCCUCCCACCUUGUAGCUGGGACUACAGCUCACAGCACACCUGGCUAAAAUUUUUUUUUUGUUGAGACGGAUUCUCUAUGUUGCCCAGGCUGGUCUCAGGCUCCUGGGCUCAGAUGGUCCUCCUGCCUCAGCUUCCAAAGGCACAGGCCAAGUUGUAGCUUUGUCCCUUGCCAUCAUGCCCAACAAGAGGUUCUAUACCUUUUAAUGAAUUGACUUUCAUAAAUUGGUUAUGUUGGUGGGCAAAGUUCUUUAAGCUGGAAAUUGUAAAUUCCUCCUGAAAUGUUUUUUCAUGCAGUUACCAUGAACUAAUACUACAAUAAAGGAUGGUCUUGGGUGUCAAUUCUUGAAAAUGUGUAUUUGAAGAAAAAGUAAAUUUCGCCUACUGUUGUCAGAUAUUAGCAGUCCAGAUAUUCGCUCUAGCUUGUAAACUUCCCUGUGGUCAGCCUAAGCUCUUAACCCCCUAUUCUACAGCUUUAGACUGAAGGCAAAAGCUCAAAGCAUUUAAGGCCUCCUCAAUUUCGGCCCCUGCUGCUCUGUGCUCUGUUCCUUGGUGUAGCUUUGUUCCAGCUCCUGCAGCAUUGCACCAUUCCUAACCACAACCUUAACAGCAUGUAGGGCCCCAUACUCUAGGCCCCAUCUUGCUGUCUUCCUGUGUUGGAAUCUUGCCUACCAAGGCCUGUCAAGAGGGUCCUCCCCCAUACUGUUUGCCCACAAGGUUCAAGAGUGAUUGGCUCCCAGUCUUCCUGGACUGAACUACUUGGAUCUAGGGGUUGCCUGUUAUUUAGAAGAGAUCCCUUAACUGGUAGGGCCCUUUCAGUAGGACAGUAUUUGGGUAAGGGGAGGGUAUAAGAUGAGAACCUUUGCUAAGUUAGGUUCCUUUGGGAGCCUCCAGUUUGUUUCUCCCUCUCCCCAGCCAUCUUGUUGGAUCUGCCAAGGGAUUGGACUCCUUCAUUGUCCUAGGUUUUUAAGGUUUUAAAGCCCACCUUCUGCAGUCGGUUUUCUGGAAUGUGUUGGUGGAUUACUUAAGAGUUAUGGGGAAAGAGUUCUUACGGCCUGUCUAGGUCAGUGAAGUCAUACUGGCAAGUGACAAGAAGGAAGCCAGGUUUGUCACUUACCCUGCAUGCUAAGGACAUCAGAGCCCACAUAGAAGUCUGGUAGUUUUUCAGCCAGCAGUGGGUAGGGAAGGUGGAUAGGGGAUUUCUGAACAGGACUUUAUGCCUGUAUGCAUGGGCACCAUGUCUGUCCUGAGCACUACCACAUGGCAUCGUAGGCUGCUCUGUCAAAGGAUAUAGCGAUAGCUGGUCCUAUGGGCAGAUGCCUAGAAUCAAGGUGGGCCUCAGAAAUAGGGCUGGGUCUCCAUAAGGAGGUAGGCCACGUUCAGUCCACCCCUAGCAUAGAUGGAACUGGGGUCUCGGGCAACCAGGAGUUACAGGAAUUUUGCUAAAGAUUCCCACCUUCCUUGAGUGGGGACACAUUCCUCUGGUUGGAGCUUGUUCCCCUAAAUGAAAAAUGUAAUGCAGUACAUGUAGGGGCCCUACUGUAUUCUUUUUCUGGGGGAAAGCUCUUGGUGUUCACAAUGGCUCAGGCUUACAGUACCUCCAGCCAUGUGCCCAUUUCCACAAGUCUUUGGGGAAGGCCAUGAGCUGAGCUGAGAGGGUUCUCUGGGGCCUGGGAUGACUUAAGAACCAAAUGGCAGAUAAUGGGAUAGGGGGCAGAUGCAGAGGACCAACGGGAAGUUUUAACACAAAUCCCCUUCCCCAGAUGAUAUGGUUUGCCUUUCUGUAGGUGGGUGGCCCAGGCCAAUUUUUGGCAAUAUCCUUAACCCACCUGAUAGGAGAAGCGCCCUCCCCUGCCUGCCUUGCCCAUUCUACCCAACAAGGACUCCCUGGUGAGGCCCUUCACUUCCAUGUCACGUCUGAGCUGCAGCUACAGUCUCCUUGCCCUCAUGGUGGUCUUCGGCAGGUGCCACAGGGCCCCCUCCAGGGUCCUCCUGGCCUACUGUCCCUUCCCGGACCUCCUCCCCACUGCCUGGGCCCUCACCCAGCUCCAGGAUGGUGGGUAGGUGGCCCUGCUUUGGGGAGCGCUUGCGCAGGCUGAGCAGGAAGGGCUGGGGCAAGGAGAAGAUGUCCACGUUGUUGCCCAGGUCAAUCCACGUGACAUUGGGGAACUUGCUGGGAUCCUUAAGGAUGUCAGUGAGGUCGCGCAGCACGGCCCGGGUCAACCGGUUGCCAUUGAGUGCCAGUGUGGUGAGGCGGGGCAGGGUGCUGAGUGCUGGCAGCAGCUGCAGGACCAUGUCGUCCGUGAGGCCUGUGAAGCCCAGCUCCACGCUGUCUACCUGCUCCCCACAGCGCUGUAGGUAGCUGGUCACCCGCUCCAGGUCUCGGGAGGUCAGUGGGAUUCCCGACAGGUCCACUGUGUUGUCUGGGGGGCUUCCGGCCAGGACAGCCUUGAGGCUGAAGGGAAAAAGGACAAACAAGGCUCAGGCACAUAGGGCAGGCCUUUCCCCCAGAAGCUGCAGUGCCAGCCUCUGCUCGGCUCUCCGACGCUAGGGACUGCUUUUACGAAACACUUGGAUGUCGGAUGCCACAAGUGCAGAGGUGGGAGCAACCAGGGACCUCAGUCCCCUGACACUGCCGCACGUCUCAGCUGUCAGGGCCCAGCUGGCCGUAGCCUGAGGUAUGUGGCUGCCCCUAUUUACCAGAAAAAUUGAGUUAAGAGUACCAUUGGGCUGAUAUAUGGAAGAAGUUCAUAAGUGCAAAAUGGUGCCUUGUAUAGUAGGCGAGUGAGGAAUAAACAUUUGCUGCUGUAUUCAUCACCUGGACUCAGCUUCCCACUUCUACCACCCUGGGGUGGCAGCUCAGCCCCCAUGAAUGGCACAAAGGAUCUCUGAGUCCCCUCUUUCAAGACCAUCUUCCCCACCAGAGAAGGAUUCCCUAUGGGGAGCCUGUAAGACAGCAGGCAGGGCAGGGCUCAGGGGCUCUGAGCCUGGUGGCAGCUGCUGACUCCUGGAGGCUGAGUGCCUUGCUCCUUGCUUCUGCUUGUUCUUGGGACAGAGCCCAGGCAGUUCAAGCUGAUGGCAAGUGUGCCCUUCCCUGCACACCCCCCACCCCACCCCCGCCAUCUGUUUGCUGGCUCCAAGGCCCAGGUGCAGUGGUGAGAUGUUCAUUUUCCACAUUUUUUUUUUUUUUUGGAGACAGUCUCGCUCUGUCACCCAGGCUGGAGUACAAUGGCACGAUCUUGGUUCACUGCACCCUCUGCCUCCCGGGCUCAAGUGAUUCUCCUGCCUCAGCUUCCUGAGUAGCUGGGAUUACAGGCGUCUGCCACCACGCCUGGCUAAUUUUUGUAUUUUUAGUAGAGACGGGGUUUCACCAUGUUGGCCAGACUGGUCUGGAACUCCUGACCUCAGGUAAUCCACCCAUCUCGGCCUCCCAAAGCAUUGGGAUUACAGGCAUGAGCCAACACGCCUGGCCAUUUUCUGCAUUUUUUUUUUUUUUUUUUUUUUUUUUUGAGACAGUCUUGUUCUGUCACCCAGGCUGGAGUGCAGUGGCGCCAUUUCUGCUCACUGCAAUCUCCACCUCCUGGGUUCAAGCGAUUCUCCUGCCUCAGCCUCCCGAGUAGCUGGGACUACAGGUGUGUGCCCCCACGCCUGGCUAAUUUUUUGUAUUUUUAGUAGAGAUGGGGUUUCACUGUGUUGGCCAGGAUGGUCUCGAUCUCCUGACCUCAUGAUCAGCCCACCUCAGCCUCCCAAAGUGCUGGGAUCACAGGUGUGAGCCACCGUGCCCGGCCCCAUUUUCCGCAUUUCUAAGUGUGCUGGGAAGGAGAGGGAGGUGGAGGGGGCUCCCAGCCUGCUCCAAGAGCAUAUGCUACUGUCAACAGCUCAAAGGUCAUGGCUUGUACUUCCUGGCAACACAGGGUACAUUUGUCCUUGAGAUCUAAGCUGGGAGGCUGUCCACAGUUUGUUCAUUUUGACUCUGACUGGGGUCCAGCCCCAGGGAGUUGGAAAGUAAAACUCUCAAGGCGUGACAUUUAAAUGCUUGGAAUGCUGCCAGCCAUCUGUGCAGCUUGAUUUAACUUUGGUGCUAUUAUCAAUGUCAUUAAUAAAGACCCAUUCCACCAGGGAAGCAGUGUGGUGGUGAACAGCCUGAGCUGGGUUUGAAUUCAGCCCCACCACUUACCAGUUGGGUGAUCCUAACCAGUCAAUUGACAACAGUGAUAUCUCCUCCCUAAUUUGUUCCUUUUUGUUUCUUGGAGAUGGAGUCUCACUCUGUUGCCCAGGCUGGAGUGCAGUGGCAUGAUCUUGGCUCACUGCAACUUCCGCCUCCCAGGUUCAAGUGAUUCUCCUGCCUCAGCCUUCUGAGUAGCUGGGAUUACAGGCGUGCAACAUCAUGCCCAGCUAAUUUUUUUAUUUUUAGUAGAGACAGGGUUUCACUAUGUUAGCCAGGCUGGUCUUGAACUUCCUACUUCAGGUGAUCCGCCCAUCUGGGCCUCCCAAAGUGCUGGGAUUACAGGCGUGAGCCACCGUGCCCAGCCCAUUUGUUCUUUUAACAAACAUUUGUUAAACUCAUCUGUGUGCCAGGCAGUAUCCUAGACACUAGGGUCACAGUGGUGAACAGGAUGGACAAAAUCCCUGUUCUUCCUCUACUAGGGGGAGACAGACCACAAACAAAACCCUGAGUGUGGGGCGAUACUGUAGCGUGGGGCUGUGGCUACUCAGGAGAAGGUAGCGUGUGGACUGACACAUGAAAAAGUAAGCAUGGGCCAUCAAAAGAGUUUGGUGAAAGUUCCAGCAGAGGGCACAAAGGCCCUGAGGCUGGAAAGGGACUGGUGUGUCUGUGAACCAGCAGGAAGGCCAGUGUGGCUGGGGCGGGAGAGCAGGAGAGGUGAGACGAGGGGGCGAGGAGAGCAAAUCAGAGGCCCAUGCUUGGAUUUCAUUCAGGUGCCAUGAGAUUCCACCCGAGGGGAAUGAGACCUCAUGACAUGGCUUCCGAAUGAAGAAUGGACUGAGCAUGGGUGUGUGUGGGGAACCAGGAGAGGCCCUUAGGUUCCAGCAGAGCUCAAACUACCAGCUUUCCAUUGCUAAAGAACCAGCUCAGUCUCAUGGCAUUCCAGGUUCCAAGGGCCCCCCGUCUUGCUGUAUCCCCAUAUAUGUCCCCUCUACCCAGGUAGAGCCCCUCCCGUAGCCAGCACCAUCACAGCCUUACACUGUUCAUCCACCUGGGAAUGCGCCUCUCCAGGAUCCAUCUCCUAGUUGUGGGUGGGGGUGGGGGGCGGGUCCAGAACAGAAGGAGGCACCAGAGUUCUUUCUUCUCCAUGAGGGAGGGGGACAGCCCUUCCUUCCCCAGCCUGCAGGGACCUGCAGGGAUGAGCUAGCACCAGCACCAAGGCCUUGGCAGAGUCUUUGUGAGGGCACACCACUCAGCUAUCAUUUGCAAAAAGACAGGUGUGCUUCCUUCUCCAGGAAGCCUUACUUCCAGGCUCCCCUCUACUUGCUUCCUACGGUGUUAUCACAGCCCACAGGUUCUGUGUCCUACAUGCCCCUCAACCCCUACCAAUCUUCAAGGGACUCUGAACCCCCUUGUUGCUGUAUGGACCAGGGACAGGGCUGGGGUCUGGGUCCCCCUGGGGACAUCUGAGAUAACUGAGGAGUUACUAGGGAGUGCUUGUUGCUCAGGCUGGAGUGCAGUGGCGCUGUCUCUGCUCACUGCAACCUCCACCUCCCUAGUUCAAGUGAUUCUCCUGCCUCAGCCUCCUGAGAAACUAGGAUUACAGGUGUGCACCACCACGCCUGGCUAAUUUUUGUAUUUUUACAGGGUUUCGCCACAUUGGUCAGGCUGGUCUCGAACUCCUGACCUCAAGUGAUCCACCUGCCUCAGCCUCCCAAAGUGCUGGGAUUACAGGCAUGAGCCAAACACUGUGCUUAUCUGGGAGUGCCCACUUUAGCACACCAGGAAUUAGAAAUUUCUCACAUCUUCCUCCCACCCACCAGACCAGGGUCCCCCUCUAGAUGUUUCCCCACUCUGGAAUCCUCCUUCCAUCUUACCUCCUUCAGGCAGCUUCUAUGACCACCCCCCAUGACUCCGCCCUUCCCUUCCCUACAUCCCUGGGAGGGGUGCCCUGUAACACACACUCAGCCUGGCAUAGACCUGCCCGGGGGAGUGUAACUCACCAGGCCUGUGGCUUCCUUUUCACCAGCCCCCGGUGCCGCCUCCACUGGGAGUGGGGGCUGAGGUGGUAUGUCAGCUGCCGGCACAGCUUCUCCAUGGCGCCCAGUGCAUCGCCUUCCUGCAGAGGCAACCAUGGGUGGUAGGGCCCUGAGUGGCUGGGUGCACCAGUCUCAGCCCCCAGGCUUCCUGUCUCCCGGGUAAGAGCCCAGCUCCCCCAGGCUGAGCUGGGGGAGGCCCUGCUCUGCUGGCCUAGGGUGGGCACCCUAGGCAGACAGCAGUGGCUGCAAACAGAUCUGCAGGAUGGUUUUAGUUUUUGUGAAUUAGUUGCUAGCAUUGAAAAACAGAUUUAUGUAAGUCUGGAUUCCAGGAGAUCGGACAAAAGUUGGCUGGAGCCAAGUGCCUGCUGACCCCCUGGCCAAGACUCACCAUGAUCCCUGCCACUCCCCAAUGUCCAGGGCCGCUCUGUGCAUUCUCUUGCUCAGCAGAUUUAUUGAGCACUUACUCGGAGCCAGGCACUUGUUCUAGGAAGCUAGGAUAUGGCCAUGAACAAAUGUUCGUGUCCUUGUAUUUCACAUAGUAAAGGGGAAAAUGAGAUAUUUUUACCUGUGUCUCCCUCAAAAGUGAGAACAAAUGAAUGAGGAGGCCAAGUCUUUCCCAGCGCAGUUCAUUCACAUGCGUUCCUGUCAGGCCCGUUGGCAUCUGAGUUUGAAACCCUGGGUGUCAUGGGCUGAACUGUAUCCCGCUGACAAUCACAAGUUGAUGUCCUAACCCCUAGUACCUUGGAAUGCAGCUGUAUUUGGAGACAAGGCCUUUAAAGAGGUGACUAAGGUAAAAUGAGGUCAGAGGAGUAGGCCCUAAUCCUGUAUGACUGGUGUCCUAAGAAGAAGAAAUGAGGACACAGACAUGCAGAGGAACAACCACUUGAGGACACAGGAGGAGGAGGGACUGACAGACCUAGGAGAGAGCCUCAGAAGGAAACCCACCAGCCAGCCUUGGACUUCUAGCCUUCAGAGCUGUGCGAAACGAACUGUCUGCUGUUUAGACCACCAGUCUGUGAUUUUUUGUUAUGGCAGACACUGGGUUAAAUGGUGCAGCUGAAAGAUGCUACAGACUCCAACUACAUCCCUAGGAAAGUCAAUCCAACAGUCCCCGGAGCCAAACUCGUGCUGGACAGGGUGAGGGCAUGAGUCCCUCCAGGGAGUGAGGACCAAAAGCGUGCUCCUGCCAGUGGGCCAGUGCUGAGGCUUGGAUGCAAGCGCUGAGGCUUGGAUGCAAGCGCUGGACUCAGAUGCAAACCCACAUGUGGCCAACGACUCGGUGUGGGGAGGUCCGGCACGUUAACCACGCACAGUGCUCAGCAUGGUGCCUGGAGUGGGUGCUCAACAGGCUGCUUUGUCAUUACGAUUCCCACACCCCUCUGCUAGUGGACAAGCAGUGUAUUGAGUAGUGAAGAGCAAAGACCUGGGGCCAAACCGUGGGGAUUCAAGUCCUGGCUUUGUCCCGUUCUGUGUGGCCUUGGACAAUUGCUUGACUUCUCUGUGCUCCAAACCACAUCUGUGAAAGGAUUACAGUACAGACCUCACAAGAGUUUCUGUGAGGAUUAAAUGAGUCACUACUAGCGCAGUGCUUUGAAUAGAGCCCAACCCACAGCAAGCUCUCCAGGCACACUCUAAGUGAAUACCGUGAUAGCGGCACCAGCACAGAGAAUUCUGGCAGGGCAAGGAGGGAAGAUGACUUCUGCCCAGGCUCAGAUUUGAGCUCAGCUUUAUUUUAAUUUAAUUUAAUUUAUUUUUUGAGACAGUCUUGCUCUGUCACCCAGGCUGGAGUGCAAUGGCACGAUCUCGGCUCACUGCAACCUCCGCCACCUGGGUUCGAGUGAUUCUCCUGCCUCAGCCUCCCGAGUAGUUGGGAUUACAGGCACCCGCCAUCACACCUGGCUAGUUUUUGUAUUUUUAGUAGAGAUGGGGUUUCACCAUGUUGGUCAGGCUGGUCUUGAACUCCUGACCUCAAGUGAUCCACCCGCCUUGGCCUCCCAAAGUGCUGGGAUUACAGGUGUGAGCCACCGCGCCCAGGCUGAGCUCAGCUUUUAAGAGCAGAUGGGUUAGUGAUUUCAGAUGGAGAAAGAAAACGUGAGGCAUCCUUGAGUGAGGAGGAAACAGUCUGUGGCAGGGCUUGGUGAUGUGGCGGCUGUGGGGUGUGUUACUGACAUGAGGGCAGGUGAAGGCAUCUGGUCCCUCCAUGGUUCAAGCCACUGUCAGCCCUGCACACCAGACAUCACGCAAGAAGGUUAUGGAAUUCCCACAGCACCCCAAGGCAGUAGAUACUUUCGUUAUUCCCAUUAUGCAGUGGGGGAGCCUGAGGCCCAGAGGGCUGGGGAUGGGCUUGGGGCUGAUGGGAAGGCAAGAGAAGGAGACUCUGAGGAAGGGGGACAAGAGAGAGAGGAGUUGGGAAGAUGGCAGUUGAAUGUCCAAAGGAGAGAGGCAUCUGUGGAGGGACCCAGGAAGCAAAGGAGGGCCCGAGACUGAACAGAACGGAUUUGGAGGAGGCCCCUGGGCUCCAGUUCACAGCCCAUCCCCACCCCUGCCCCCAGCUUCCUGGUGCCUGGCUGUCUGAUGAAUAAGCUUGUAUCACCUGCCACUUGCACCUGUAUCACACCUGUGUGUUACACCUGUCACUCCUGUGUGUCACUCUUGUGUGUUGCAGAUGUGGGGGCAGGUGAGCAUCUGCCUUUACGGCUUCAUUCCCCACCCCUGGAGCUGACAUCUUUUGGUUCCUAGACUUAGCUUCUUGCUGAACCUGGCCACAUGACUGUGUGGAGGGAAGCAAGGCGGGUGAAGCAGGAGGAGCUGGUCAUGGGGGCUGCAGGGGAGUCCCUCAAGGGGGAUGUUCCUCAGACUGGGAGAUGGAGAGAGGGGUGGACAGGAGGUGGAGAGGAUGACUCAGGGCCAGGCUAUUGGAAGGGGCUGAGGGGACAGAGGCCACACAGCUGACUGAUAUGCUGGAUGGAGAAGGUGUGGGCAGGGAGGGUGAGGAGGGUCUAGGCUUUGGGCUUGGGACAUGAGUAGAAGGCAAGGGGCUCAAGACAAGAAGUGGGUGAGAAGGCAGGAGGGGGGUGACCUGCUCAUGUGGGGCCAUGGUAAGUUUGAGGAGCUCACAAUACCUCCAGCUGUGGAUGCCACUGGACUUAUGGGGUUGGGGCUCAAGACAGGUCCAGGCUGGACACAUUCAUCAGUAAGAUUAAACCCCUGGCCAGAGAAUGAGCUAAGCAGGAGGGAGAGAGAACAGUGGACACACAGCAGUCAGAGAAGACUCCAUCAGAGCAGCAGGAGUAGUGGAGUCUGGACACCAAGAAGAGUGACUAAUGGGGUUAGACCCCCACCCAGAGGCCACUGGGUCUCCAACAAGGAGGCCAUGGCCAGCACAAGUUCAGGGAGUGGGGCCAUGGUGGGAGCCGACCUUAGAGCUCAAAGGGAGAAUAGGGGCCAGGCACGGUGGCUCACGCCUGUUAAUCCCAGCACGUUGGGAGGCCAAGGUGGAUGGAUCACCUGAGGUCAGGAGUUCGAGAUCAGCCUGGCCAACAUGGCAAAACCCUGUCUCUACUAAGAAUACAAAAAUUAGCUGGGCGUGACGGCGGGCGCCUGUGAUCCCAGCUGCUCCGGAGUGCUGAGGCAGGAGAAUUGUUUGAACCCAGGAGGCGGAGGUUACAGUGAGCCGAGAUCGCACCACUGCACUCCAGCCUGGGUGACAGAGUGAGACUCCAUCUCAAAAAAAAAAAUAAUAAUAAUAAUAAAUAAAUAAAACAGAGAAUAGGAGGUGACACUGGAGAUGGCCCAUCUAGAGCUGUGCUUCUUUACCUUGGAAUCUUUCAUACCGGAAUCUCAGGGGAGCUUUUUUUUCUUUUUUUUGAGACGGAGUAUCGCUCUGUCGCCCAGGAUGGAGUGUAGUGGCGCGAUCUUGGCUCACUGCAAGCUCCGCCUCCCGGGUUCACGCCAUUCUCCUGCCUCAGCCUCUCCAGUAGCUGGGACUACAGGCGCCCGCCAACAUGCCCGGCUAAUUUUUUUGCAUUUUUAGUAGAGACGGGGGGUCUCACUGUGUUAGCGAGGAUGGUCUCGAUCUCCUGACCUUGUGAUCCGCCCGCCUCGGCCUCCCAUUACAGGCGUUAGCCACCGCGCCCGGCCUGGAAUCUCAGGGGAGCUUUAAAGUCCACUGAUGGGCCAGGUGCUGUGGCUCACUCUUGUAAUCCCAGCACUUUGGGAGGCUGAGGCAGGAGGAUCACUUGACCCCAGGAGUUCAAGACUACCCUGGGCAAUAUAGUGAGACUUGCUCUCAAAAAAAAAAAAAAAAAAAAAAAAAGCCCAUCAUGGUGGCAUGUGCCUGCAGUCCCAGCUACCCGGGAGGCUGAGGUAGGAGGCUCUUGAGCCCCGAAAGUGAAGGCUGCAGUGAGCCGUGAUCACACCUCUGCACUCCAGACAGGGUGAGACCUAGUCUCAAAAAACCAAACCAAACCAAACAACAACAAAAUAACACUGAUGCCUGGGCCACCCCAAUGAUGGGUGGGUGGCUCAGGCACAGGGAUUUUUUUUUUUUUCUUUUUGUUUGAGAUGGAGUCUCACUCUGUUGCCCAGGCUGGAGUGCAGUGGCGCGGUCUUGGCUCACUGCAACCUCCAUCUCCCAGGUUCAAACGAUUCUCCUGCUUCAGCCUCCCAAGUAGCUGAUUACAGACGCCUGCCACCACACCCCGCUAAUUUUUUGUAUCUUAAUAGAGAUGGGGUUUCACCAUGUUGGCCAGCCUGGUCUCGAACUCCUGACCUCGUGAUCUGCCCGCCUCAGCCUCCUAAAGUGCUGGGAUUACAGGUGUGAGCCACCCUGCCUGGCCACACGGGGAUUUUUAAAAGGUCCCCAGGUGAUUCCCUAGUGCAGCUGAGGUGGAGAAGCACUGGUUCAAAGACCAUGGGUGGGAUCAGGUGGUCUGCCCAGCAUCACUCCUGGAACCACCCCAGGACAGAAUGUAGCCAGUCUCCAAAGCUUAGAACUGAGCCCCUCAGCUGCAGCUCCUCCUUCAAUCACUUCCCAGGGUUUCCAAAAUCUGGGGCCAAAAUCCCUGUCCACCCUCUCAGCCUGGGCAGCUGAGCCUUAAAAGAAGAGAAUAGAGGCCGGGCGCGGUAGUUCACGCCUGUAAUCCCAGCACUUUGGGAGGCCGAGGCAGGCGGAUCACAAGGUCAGGAGUUCGACACCAGCCUGUCCAAUAUGGUGAAACCCCAUCUCUACUAAAAAUACAAAAAUUAGCCAGGCGUAGUCGUGGGUGCCUGUAGUCCCAGCUACUUGGGAGGCUGUGGCAGGAGAAUCGCUUGAACCCGGGAGGUGGAGGUUGCAGUGAGCCGAGAUCGCGCCACUGAACUCUGGCCUGGGCGCCAGAGUGGGACUGGUGUGGGACUCGCACACACGCACACACGCACACGCACACACGCACACGCACACACACACACACGAGAACAGAGGACAAGGGGGCAUCACUGCACUGCCAUUGCCACAAGGGGGCAGCCACGCACAGGGCCAGGCUCGGGAUGGAAGUGUAUCUGCCACUACCAGGGAGAACUGAGGAGCCUGCGUCUCCUCACUGGCUAGACAGGAACAAUAGAUAUGGACACCUCAUAGAGUUGCCUUGAGAGCACAAGUGAGCUGAUGUUCUCUCAGGAGUGAGAGUUCCCUUCUGCUUGUCUGAACUAAACUGACAACAGCUAACAUGUAUUGAGCAGCUGCGAUGCAUUGGGCAUCUCCUCUGAGCACUGUUUGCAUGAACAUUUUGGGGCUCAGAACACAAUUCCAAAGCAUGGCGCCGGGGCCAGCAGAGAGCUUUGAACUAACGGAAAUUGGAAGGCCUCAGAAGCAAAGUUUUUCUGCCCUUCUGCUGCCCUCCUGUCUCUGGCCCUUCUUCUCCCCCAGAGUGAGUCAGAGAAACCAGAAUUCUUCUUCCCCAAGGCAGGUCACAGAGACCAGAACCCCUCUCCCUCAAAGCAAGCCAUAAAACUAGGCAGGUCACUCUCUCCCUUCUGUCUUGAAGACCAUUCCAGAGGGGUAGGAAGGAACACUGCAGAGAGAGGCCAAGAAGAAUCUGAGCAGAUAGCCUUCCUGGGUCCCCUCGGCCUAUCACCAUUAGAUCACACCCUUUGUCCAAUCGCAUUUCUACAAGCUUGUGCACUCUUUACCAAGCCUGAGUAUAAAAACAGAUAGCUGGCUGAGUGUGGUGGCUCACGCCUGUAAUCCCAGCACUUUGGGAGGCCGAGGUGGGUGGAUCACCUGAGGUCAGGAGUUCGAGACUAGCCUGGCCAACACGGCGAAACUCCAUCUCUACUAAAAAUACAAAAAAUUAGCUAGGCAUGGUGGCGGGCACCUGUAGUCCCAGCUACUUGGUAGGCUGAGGCAGGAGAGUUGCUUGAACCCAGGAGGUGGAGGGUCCAGUGAGCCGAGAUCACGUCAUUGCACUCCAGCCUGGGCAACAGAGUGAGACUCUGUCAAAAAACAAACAAACAAACAGGCCAGGCGUGGUGGCUCAUGCCUGUAAUCCCAGCACUUUGGGAGGCAGAGGGGGGCGGAUCACCUGAGGUUGGGAGUUUGAGACCAGCCUGACCAACAUGGAGAAACCCCAUCUCUACUGAAAAUACAAAAUUAGCCAGGCAUGGUGGUGCAUGUCUGUAAUCCCAGCUGCUCGGAAGGCUGAGGCAGGAGAAUCGCGUGAACCCAGGAGGCAGAGGUUGAGGUGGGCCGAGAUCACGCCACUGCACUCCAGCCCGGGCAACAAGAGCAAAAUUCCGUUUUAAAAUAAAUAAAUAAAUAUAAUUAAAAUAAACAAAUUCUAACAAACAAAAAACCAAAAAAACAAAAAAACCUCUUUCCCUGGGGUUUGGGGUCUUCAUUUCUUUCUUUUUUUAAAGAGAUGGGGGUCUCACUAUAUUGGCCUUGCUGGUAUUGAAUUCCUGGACUCAUGUAAUCCUCCUGUAUCAGCCUCCCAGGUAGCUGGGGCUAAGGGUCCUCAUUUCUUUUCUUUUCUUUUCUUUUCUUUUUUUUUUUUAGUGACGGAGUCUUGCUCUGUCCCCGCCCUCAGGCUGGAGUACAGUGGCACCAUCUCAGCUCAUUGCAACCUCCGUCUCCCAGGUUCAAGUGAUUCUCCUGGCUUAGCCUCCCGAGUAGCUGGGAUUACAGGCGCGUGCCACCACGCCCAGCUAAUUUUUGUAUUUUUAGUAGAGACAGGGUUUCACUAUGUUGGCCAGGUUGGUCUUGAACUCCUGACCUCAGACGAUCCGCCUGCCUCGGCCUCCCAAAGUGCUGGUAUUACAGGUGUGAGCCACCGUGCCUCACCUGAGCGUCUUCAUUUCUGAAAGCUCCCAUGUUGCGUAAAAUUUUGAUUAAACACAUUUGUUCUGCUUUUUUGUUACCCUGUGUCUGGUUAUAGGAGUGUCAGCCAUGACCCUUAUAAUGAGUGAGGGAAAAGUACCACACAGUUCUGCCCUACAAUUUUUUUUUUUAGACGGAGUCUUGCUCUGUCGCCCGGCUGGAGUGCAGUGGCGCAAUCUCAGCUCAAUGCAACCUCCAUCUCCCAGAUUCAAGCGGUUCUCUUGCUUCAGCCUCCCGAGUAGCUGGGACUACAGGCACCCGCCAUCCAUGCCCGGCUAAUUUUUUUUGUAUUUCUAUUAGAGACGGGGUUUCACCAUGUUGGUCAGGCUGGUCUCAAAUCCUGACCUCAAGUGGUCCACCUGCCUCGACCUCCCUAAGUGCCCUACAAACUAUAGUCCCAUACCUUACUACAACCCUAUGAGACAGGUAUUAUUAAUAACCCCGCUUUACAAAUGAGGGAACUGAGGCAAAAAGAACUUAAAUAGAUGGGCAAGGCCUCCCAGCUUGUAAGACGGAGUCAGGAUCUAAAGUCAGCCAGCUCUGAGGCUGAUGCUCCUAACCGCUAUCUGCUGCCCUCCUUGUGAGAAAUCCUGUCUUUGGCUUAGGUCAGUUCAAAGUGUUUCUAUCAUUUACAACCAGAAAAGCCUUCAGUGAGACUGUCUCAUUUUUUCCCAACUCUUCCACUUUUCAAAGAACCCCUCCAGGGCUCCCUCCUGCAGAGAACAGGACUAGGCAGCACUGGCCCAGAAGUGGAGCAGUAAGAAGGUGGGGAACGGGGGGAGGGAGAGGAGGAGAAGGAGGAAGAGGAAGAGGGAGAGGAGGAGGAGGAAGGGGAGGGGGAGGAGGAGGAGUAGCAGUAGUAGGAGGAGGAGGAAGAGGAGGGAGAGGAGGAGGAAGAGGAGGGGUAGGAGGAGGAAGAGGAGGAAGGAGGAGGAAGAGGAGGAGGAAGAGGAGGAAGAAGAGGAGAAAGGAGGAGAAGAAGGAAGAGGAUCAGGAAGAGGAGGAGGAGGAAGAGGAGGAGGAAGAGAAGGAAGAGGAGGAGGAGGAAGAGGAGAAGAAGGAAGAGGAGGAGGAAGAGAAGGAAGAGGAGGAGGAAGAGAAGGAAGAGGAGGAGGAAGAGAAGAAGGAAAAGGAGGAAGAGGAGGAGGAGGAAGAGGAGCAGAAGAAGGAAGAGGAGGAGGAAGAGGAAGAAGAGGAGAAGGAGAAAGAAGAGGAGGAGGAAGAGGAAGAGGAGGAGGAAGCUGGACUUGACACUGAGACACACAUACCCUAACUCCUCCAGUGGCUGGAACCCUGAGAAGUAACCUGGGAGCCAUAGCUAGCCACAUUCCCUACCAUGCGGCAGGGGGAAGAGCAGUCUGUGCAGAGGGAACACAGAGGGAGGCAGGGUAGAGCAGCGAGGAGGGAAGGAGGGACCUCUGCACCGUGCUUAUCUAUAGUUCUAGCACCUUGGUCUAACUUGGCUGCCCGUGGGCACCACAAGACACCUCGAUAUCUGUAGAACACAUUUUCUUCCUUGCUGGAGCCAGCCCGCCUGGGCUUCUGUUAUGUGCAGCAGAAUCCUAACCCGCCCAGAAGGCUCAAUGGCUGUGUGCUGAAUCAAUGCUUUGCAGUCCUCCCCCGAUCCCUGAAGAUGGCAGGAGUGGGAUGUGGCACAGUCAAGUGACUAUGAGUGCAGGUCAGGGCAGCAGCCUCUCCAGACCUUCCCAGUGAGGCUGCCCAGGUCCUGGGGCAGAACGUGUUUGAGGGGCUUCUCAUUAAUCUGUCAGGAAAGAUGACGUGCUGACCUGCAGGCUGACCUGGGAGGGGUACCAGCACCCGACACUGCUCUGGCUCUCAGCCAUCAGGCAGUGAUACCAUCUGCCAUCUUCACUCCCCAGGCACCUCUGUAACUGCUCCAGGACCCCGACAAGCACAGCCCUCCACUGCCCUCCAUUCAAGGCUAUCCCUCCCUCAUCCAUAAAUUCAUUCAUACAUUCAUCAAAUGUUGACUGUCCCCCUCAUUACACUGGACACCAUUCCAGAUGCAGAGACUGUGUGCCGGCUUUUCUGUUUCCUCUUGCCCCACAGUCCACUCUGCCCUUCUCUGCUCAGAAGGCUGGGCUCUAGAGACUGCAUCACUGGGCUCUCUUCCCCCUGGCUUCCACUUGGGUUCAGCUAAUGGGAGCAAUGGCAGCAAGACCAGAGGGCAGGAGGAGAGACGGAUGGGGGAGUUUAUUCUGAUUCCCCCACUUCGGCAUGUGCAGCCGCCGGCCUCCAAGACAGCCUUGCUGCUCUCGGCUCCUGGCAUCUGUGCCCCUGUGUAAUGUCCUUCCACAUUGUAGCAGGGCUGGUCUAAGUGAGCAACAGAAUCAUUAGAACCAAUAGAAUGGUGGAAAUGAUGGUUUGUGACUUCUGAGACUGGGUCUUAAAAGGUAUUGUGGGGGUUGGGCUCACACCUGCAAUCCUAGUGCUUUGGGAGGCCAAGGGAGGGGGAUUGCUUGAGGCCAGGAGUUUGAGACCAGCCUUGGCAACAUAGUGAGUGCCCCGUCUCUACAAGAAAAAAAAAAACAAAAAAUUAGCUAGGCAUGGUGGUGCCUGCCUGCAGUCCCAGCUACUUGGGAAGGUGAGGUGGGAGGAUCACUUGAGCCUAGUAGUUCCAGGCUGCAGAAAGUUAUGAUCACACCUCUGCACUCCAGCCUGGGCAUCAGAGUGGGACCCUGUCUCAAAACAAACAAACAAACAAAUACAAACAACAACAACAACAAAAAAGCAAGGCCAGGCAUAGUGGCUCACACCUGUAAUCCCAGCACUUUGGAAGGCCAAGGUGGGUGGAUCACCUGAGGUCAGGAGUUUGAGACCAGGCUGGCCAACAUGGUGAAACCCCGUCUCUACUAAAAAUACAAAACAUUAGCCAGUUGUGGUGGCAGGUGCCUGUAAUCCCAAGCUACUUGGGAGGCUGAGGCAGGAGAACCGCUUAAACCCGGGAGGCAGAGGUUGCAGCGAGUCGAGAUUGCGCCAUUGCACUCCAGCCUAGGUGAUACAGCGAGACUCUGUCAAAAGAAAGAAAGAAAGAAAAGAAAGGAAAGAAAGAAAGGCAUUAUGGCUUCUAUAUUAUCACCUGUUGUGGGAUAAGCCAGCUGCCAUGAUGUGAGGACACUCAAGCAGUCCCAUGGAGAGGCUACAGGGCGAGUGUGCCGCCUUGGAAGUAGACCUGCCAACUUCUUUUUUUUUUUGAGACGGAGUUUCGCUCUUGUUGCCCAGGCUGGAGUGCAAUGGCGCGAUCUCAGCUCACGGCAACCUCCGCCUGCCGGGUUCCAGUGAUUCUCCUGCCUCAGCCUCCCGAGUAGCUGGGAUUAUAGGCAUGCGCCACCACGCCCGGCUAAUUUUGUAUUUUUAGUAGAGAUGGGGUUUCUCCAUGUUGGUCAGGCUGGUCUCGAACUUCCAACCUCAGAUGAUCCACCUGCCUCGGCCUCCCAAAGUGCUCGGUGGCCUCCCAAAGGUGUGAGCCACCGAGACUGGCAGACCUGCCAACUUCUGUUAAGCCUUCUGACACCUGCAGCCCUGACCAAUGUCUUGAGAGACCCAAAGCUAAACUACCUACUUAAGCGGCCCCUGCAAACCUGACCUACAGAGACUAUAACAAUAAAUGUCUGUUGUUUUAAGCCACUAAGUUUUGGGGUAGUUUGCUAUAUGGCAAUGGAUAAUGCAGCGUGGCUCUGGACCAGGUGUUCUCACCCUGCCUCUGGCAAUACAGCUUGUCCUCCUGUGAAACAACUUCCUACUACUGCUGUCUUUGGAUGUCUCAAUGUCCCCUGUUGACUUCCUUUAUCCUGUCCUCAACCCUUUACUAAACUCUCUUCAAACUUCACAAUGGAAUAUGUUGCCUGCUUCCUGCCUGGUGCAGGUUGGAAUUAUGAACAAGACAGACACCCUUCCCUUCAGAGUUUAUAUUCUAGUGGGGAAAACAGACAAUAAAUUAGCCAACAAAUAAAUAAGCAAGGUAAUUUCAGAGACCAGUAAGUAAAACAGAGAAACGAAUGGAAAAAUAAAUGGGGCUCGAGACAGGCUGAUCAGGAGCCUACACUAGGCAGGCUUGUCAACGAAGGCCUCUCAGAGGCCGUAGGCUCAGUCUGAACUCAGGAGAAGGCAACUCAGACAGAAGAGGCUGGAGCAGUCAAAGGGAGCAGCGACGUCCCUAAGAUAGGAGAGGGUGUGGAGGUGUCAGGAACAGAGGAGGGAGGCCCACGUGCUAGAGCAGAGCUCGCAGGGUGGCAAGUGGGAGAGGGGAGCUCAAGAGACUCAGGCAAAGCCAGAUGAGGAGUUUGGGUUUUGUUUAAACUACAGCACAGCCCCUCACUAAAGGAUGUUCAGUGAGGUCCGUGUAGUAUCCAAUUUACCUUUGGAACGAGCUCUCCGGUCUUGACACCUCUGCCUAUAAUCUCUAGACCCAUAACGUGGGCUGACAUGAACUUCUCAGAUGCAAAUUGCUCUGACCAGGAUGUCCUGGUCAGCCCUCUGGGGUGGAUGGAGGGGCUGCUCCUACCACCAGCCUGGGGACCUCCCACCCCUGCCUCAUCCAGAGAGCCUCGCUUGCCACAUGGGCACGAAAGGGGCCUUCCAGGUCUCUGGGCUUUAGCAGGGCUCACCCACUCUGGCUGGCUCUGAUUUUGUUUUGAGGAAAACAAAGUCCAGGUGUUGAAGUGGUCUGAGGAAGGUUACACCAUGCAAUGGACUGAAUGUUGGUAUCUCCCCAGAAUUCACGUGUUGAAACCUAAUCCCCAGGGUGAUGGUAUUUAGAGGUGGGGCCUUUGGGAGGUGAUUAGGCCAGGGGGGUGGAGCUCUCACAAUGGGAUUCCUGCUCCUUUGCCCAUUUCCUGCCAUGUGAGGACACAGGAAGGUGACUGUCUGUAACCCAGAAAAAGGUCCUUGCCAGUCACCAACCAGGCUGGCACCCAGAUCUCAGACUUCCAGCCUUCAGAAGUGUGAGAGAUAAAUUUCUACUGUUUGUAAGCCACCCAGUCUACGAUAAUUUGUUACAGCCACCUGAAUGGACCACAACAACCCAGGUAUGCACCCCCUGGCCCCGCCUCUACCCAGAUGGAAAGGGAAGAUCAGAAGGCAGGAGUUCCCGCCCCUCCUCCUGGCCUUGCCUGGUCCUGUCUCACAGGGUCUCACAGUGGCCCUUACCCACUCCCUGGCCUGCCUCUCUCUCUGAGAGGGUGGGUCCUUCUCCCCACACAGGCUGUCCAUGAGGCAACCUGUGAGGGGCAGGUUGGGGAGGGAGGGGAGCUCGGCUGCUCCCACCAGGCCCCUCCUCCUGCCCCCAUGGGCACUGACCACCCAGGGACCACCGGCCUGUGUCCCGCCCGGCUCUGGGUCACUGCAUAGGCCCAAAUCACACCUGUGGUUCUCCUCGGAGGUGUAACCUUGCUCAGAUCACUUGAUUACCUGAAUUUUGUUUUCCUUAACUCAAAGAUGGGCAUAUACAUAGCCCUCCUAUUUCUUUUUUGCUUUUUUGAGAGCCCCAUCGCCUUUCACCCUCUCAUCUGUGAGCAACUCCAUUGCUGCUCUAGGAAAGGCAGAGUCUGGCACCUGGCAAGGCCUCCUCACAGGCCUGACUCCCGUCCCUUCCCACCUCCCUAGGCAGAACCGGGUGGAACUGCAUGAGAAGCGACGGAGGCGCCAGCCCCAGCCAGCUCCCUGUGGCUCCUGGCACCAAUCAGGCCUCGAGGCUUCCUCAACACCAGCUUUCCUUCCCCUCCCAUUGGGCCCUGCAUCCCUGCCUUCUGCAACAUUGUGCUCCUGACCCUGGCUGGCUCCCAGCCCUCCACAGCUGGGCCCCACCUCAGAGCCUUUGCAUCAGGUAGCCCCAGAGUCAGAGAGAAGGCCCCCGACAAAGCCGCAGAUGGAGCUCAGCCCCAGGAAACACCUUUCCAGAGCAAGGCUCCAGCUCACUGUAGGACCACAGUCAAGUCUGUAUCCAGGCCGAGCGACAGGUGGGCUUGGGAACCAUCUCACUCCCGGCCUAGAUCCUACACCAAAAGGAAAAACUUCCCUCCCACACCCCUUCGUCCUGCUCUGGUUUCCUGACUGCCAGUGGGGAAGCACUUCUUUUGGAAGCCACUGGAAAUUGAGGGAUGAGACAGAAAAAAACCAAAGCAACAGAGAAGCGCUCAAGUGUGGAAAUGUCCCCAGCCGGCCCUCCCCUUCCCGCCAGGUCGGGCUGCAUAGCCCUGGGGGAGCCUAGACCUGGAGCUGCAGGAACAUGGCAGAACCUCCCAUCCAGGCAGGGCUGAGCUGCAGAUCUGGAGCCUGGAGAGCCAUGGAGCUUUCCCUUCCGAGCUCCCAGGGCCAGUAGGAAGAAGACAUGAGUGAAGGGGUGGGUGUCAAAGGACACUCAGCCUCAGAGGUGAAGACAUCUGGGAGUGGUGGGGACUGAGGCAAAGCGGACAGCCCCAUGCAGGGCCCCGGACGGCCUUCUAUGACACCUUUGUGCAAAUAAGAAAAAGUUCACCUCCAGGGAGACAAGGGCUUGCACCAGGGCUCAUGGCUUGGUGGGUAGAGAGAGGGCUGGAUUUGAACUUUCCCCUGCCUCCCCCUACCCCACUACCCCUCUGUACGCAUGCUUUCGUGCAAGGUACAACCUGUACAACUGUAUGUGGUGGCCUUGGCCCCAUAUAACAGGGAUGGCUACUUAGCUCCAGCCCUGCAGAAAUGAGGGCUUCAUGUUGCUGGAGCUUCCAGUUUUUCAAGGGCAGCUGAAUACAGGGAUCAUGUGAAAAAUUCUGGUUUUUAAAUGUUGGCAAUGAAUUCACCCCCUGGGCCAAACAAAACCAAUCUGUGCUAGUGGCACCAAGGGAGAGCACCUCAAGCUCUUGGUGCCUGGAGGACGGGCUUGUCCUCCUUGGGCCUGUCUGCCAGUCCUCCUUGGGCAUACAGCUGCUCUGCCCAGAAAGGCACCCACCGCACACCCCGGGACCUGGCUGGCUCGGACCACAGCCACCCUACCGGCUUGGGACAGUGGAUGUAGCGUGCCAGGCUGAUGAUGAGGUCGUGUGUGAUGGGGUCCACCAGGUUCCGGAAGCUGGCGUAGCGAUACAGAACGUCGUCUAGCGAGGUCGACUCCAUGCCCAGGUCCUGCAAGAGCAAAGGAUGCCCAGAGGUCAGGGCUGGCUGCCCACCCAGCUCGCCCACCAUCCCCAAGAGAAGUAGGCACAGACCCCUAGAGGCGACUCUGCCUCCCAGAGCCCCGGUGGGGAGCAUCUGCAGAACUUCCCUCAGGGGCUGGGGCAGGCCUCUCCUGUUUGUCUUUGCCUCCAAGUUGAGGAAGAGCAGGGACUGGCCUCUGCAGGCUCUGCAGUUUGUGCAGGUCCUGGCUUGUGGCCCUCUCCUAGGACAGCCCCUGACCUUUGUCUCUCUGGUUUUCCAGAGGAGGAAGCCAAGGGUGGCCUGCCUCGGUGCAAGCAGCUGCUUCUCUAUGGUGGCAAAAUUUGGAAUUAACUGCCUUGUGACAGGAUGGUUUAAUGAUAUUUAUUUGUGUUUUCUUCCUGCUUCUGACGUUGUUUUUACUGCUCCUUCUGUAGCCGAUGCAGCCUCAGUGUUCCUUUGCCUUGGGGGUUUCUGAGUGGUGGGGUUGUAAGCAGAUCCUGCCAGGCACCCAGAAGGAAACCUCAUCAGGACUCCCUCAGAAAGGUACUGAGUGGAAUCUUCCCGAUGGGAGGGGAGCAGCUUGGAGGCGAGUGCUACUAAGUGUGGUGGGGCCGCGGCAGAAACCGCUGGAGCAGAGCUUCCCUGGGUCUGAGGAAGGAAUUGGGUUUGGGGGCUCAGGACACACCACCCCAGAAUAUGGUACCCUGGCAUCUGAGGAGGCAGCUGACACAGGAAGGUCUCUCUGACUGCUGUUCUCCCCCAAAGCAGGCCCUGAAGAAUCCUGUGACCUUCAUCUAAAGUAGGUCAUGAGACCCCUGAGCUUAAAACGGAGUGAUCGGCUUUGGAGAAGUAAGGAGACAUGACGUGCCUGCCCUGGGGUGGGGACUAAACUUCGUGCCACUCCACGUGAAAGGGGGAGGUACGCCUGCUCCCUUUCCUCAAGCCCCCCCCUCCCAAUUUCUGCCAUCCUUGGGUAUGAGCUACACGACAGUCCCUGACCCUAGCUUGGUGCCCUGCACAGACCAGGCAAUGCUGACAUUCCCAUCCGGAGACUGUCCUCACACCAUCCUGGGGAACAUGAGACAUCCCUGGGUAGGGAGGCAAAGCAGGCCCACCCACUGCAGGCUGUCCUCAUUCUGGGGGCUCCCACAGCUGCCCCAGCACAGCCCAGAGAAAGGCUCCCAGCCCAGGUGGCUGGGGUCCAGUGCCCUGGGGACGGGACGUCUGGGCAGGGAAUGUGUGGGUAACCAGCUGAGUUUGCUCCUUGUCAUUUUGUUUGUAUUCUGAACUUUUAAAAUACCUUCCCCACAUGAUUCUUAGAAAUCCCUGGAAGGCACGCAGGCUGGACAUCAUCAUAUAUUCUCUACAGAUGGAGACACCAAGGCCCACGCCUUCUGUGCUGUUGGAAUUUCAGGAAGGAUGGGGGUGGGGCACGGCCUCAGCCCUGGGCAUGUUCUGCAGAUUGCACUGCUCUUAUCUGCCAGGGGGUGGUGAGAGGGUGGCUGAGCUGGACAGAUGGCGGGCAGGGACGGGCUCUGCGGUCUGGCAGCUGACAUUGAUACAAGCAAAAAAAGAGUCUUUGCUGGGGGCUCUGGAGGGCCUGGGUGUCAUGCCUGGGGGUGGGAGGAGCCUCUUGUGGGGAGCCCCUUGGAGCCCAACUGCCAGCCAGGUCCUACCUGCCGUGGUUAGGGGGCACUCUGCCCCCACCCUCAUUAACGCCUCAGUGAGGACACAAGAGGCCAGUUGUGAGGGCUGUUUUCCAUAUGGCAGGAAUGAACCUUGGAGGCGAACUGCCAGGUCCUGUGCCAGGCUCUCUGGCUGCUGAAAAAAUUUGCUGGGAACCAGGACCUGGGGGCUCAAGGUCUGUCAUGGAUGCAGUCAGGGGAGGCUUCUGAAGCACUGGCUGGUACAGGUUCUAGAGCUGCACCCCCUUGUAGAAGCAGGUACAAUACCCGCCUUUGACCUCUGGCCCUGCCCUGGCUUUUUCAAUCCCUCAGCCAGGGCUGCAUCCUGAAGCAAGCAACCUGACAAUGCUAAGCCUCAGUUUCCUCAUCUGUAAAACGGGGACAGUGACCCCAGCAUCACAAGGAGGCAAGGGGAACAAGACCAAGUGUUACAUGUAAAGCCUCUGGCAGGGAACAGAGAAAGCAGCAGUGCCCUUUCUACUACAUUUCUGCCCCCUCCUCCCUGGAAGGCCCGUCCUCACCUUCUGCAGGGGUUCUCGAUCUCCUGGACCACAGACCCAAUUGAGAAUGUGUCAAAAGCCAUGAGCUCUCUCCCUAGAAAAAUUCUGGAGUCAGGGCUGGGCGGGGACCUGAGCACACAGAGUCCACACUGGCCUCAUGGUCAGGAGGGUGUGUCAGAGCCGUGUGGACACGAGGGACCCCGGGACACAAACUAUCACCCACUAAUGUGCAAAAUCACAGCCCUGCCUCCCUGAGGCGGGAGGAAGCUGGGGACACAGGAAGGCCGAAAGUCAAAGGACUUGUGUUCUACGGUCUCAGAGGGCCUGUGUGGUCAAACGAGCUGUGGCCCAGUGCCUGGUUUGCCAGCCAGUCCCUGCCUACAGCUUGAGGCUCCCCUUCCUGGGGACAGGGAGCUGGAGAAGGAGGGCAGAUGAGGUGGAAACAGAGGGGUGGUUAUUCCCAUGGUCAGAGGCUGCACUGGUGGCCACGGGGAGGAGGCCAGAGGCAUGGAGCUAUUUUUCUUUUACACUCGGUCGAGCAGGCUGGGCUGCUCCUCUGUGGUUGGCAACUUAAUGCCAGCCUCUAUGCCUCCUCUGCUUUGCCCCUGGGCACCCCUCUCCUCUGUGAGCACCCCUGGCACCUAGUGGUCUCCCCCUUACAAUUGUCCCUGCAGUCUGUCCCUAAAUGACCCUGGGAAAUAGCACUGGAUUUUAGGCCCUGGCCAGCCCCAACUCGCUGUAAGUCUGUGGCAAGAGACUUCCCUCUUGGGAUUCAUUUCCCUAUCUGUGAAAUGGGCAGAUGAACCACACUAGUGGUUAUUAAACUGUGUUCCAAGAUCUUGAGGCUGACGGUCAGGGGCUGCGGUAGACGAGAGAGGUGAGAGGAACCAGCAGGGCUGUGGGCUGCAGCUCUUACAAAGCAGCUCCUGGUUACAAACAAAUGAACGCAGUUCUGUUCCAAAGAAAAGCUUGAAAGCCCUGGACCAGAUGACUGCCUGGGUUUCUUGUGUUCCUACCAGCCCUGCCCCAUCUUCCUGGACCCCCUACAUCUCCAAGCUAGUCUAGGCCAUCCCUGGAAGGACCAAGAAAAUCCCAGUUGCCAACCCAGGAGGUUGGGCAGGUCUGUGAAGAUGCCAAAUGUCCUUUCCGGAGCCCACUCCCCUGCCGUCUCCCCGCGCCAUCCCCCUGGUUGCCCAGCUGCUGACUGUGGCUCUGCCUCUCUGGAGCACUGUCUGGGUUCAUGUGGUUGUUGCUUAGGAGGGGAAAAGGAGUGUAGAGGCAGGAUGGGAGGGAAGGAGGAGGGUCUCCUAGAAAGGCAGCUCAGGGUCACUGUGAGUCACGGCCAACACCGGCCCGCCCUGUGAAUUCCAGCUGGGGUGGGGCUCCCCAAGGUCCCAGGGCUACAACAGGGAAAGCCAGAUAGAGGCUGGCCAAAGGCCAUGGCACACAUUAUUGCUUUAUUGCUUUAUUUCAACCCCACCUAGGCCCACAGGAUGCUUGUGCUAACUGAGGGCACUUCAUAGUCCUGAGGACCUUGGGCUACUUCCUGCCUCCUUGAUGUCCUCUCCAUCCCCCCUCCCCUAAGCCAGGCUAUUGGAGAUGAUGGUGUCACCAGCUGCUGGGACUACCCACAGGGCUGGGUGUGAGGGAGGAGAGGUCACCAGAUCCUCAGGUGUCUCAGGAGGCUGCAGCCUGGGCCACAGCCCUGGGAAUGGGCUCCUUUCAGACUCGGCACCCAUGGCCUGCCCUCCUUCUCAGGAAGACACAGAAUGGGGGUAGGCACACAAGGCCUGCUGCAUGUGCAAGGGAAGUGGAAGAAUCAGAUCCAGGUGUGGUCCCUGCAGCCCCUCCUGUGCACUGUACUAGUCUUGGAGGGGCUGGUUUGUCUUAAAAAGCACAAGGCAUUGAGGACAAUCCCAUUUUCCUCAUGAUAGGUCUAAACGGUACCACCUCUAGGAACUGUGCCUGUGGACAGUUCCUCAUCAGGAUGUCUGGGAACACCAGCAGGUGCACCUGAGUCACUGCUGGUGGGGAGUGACGCUCGGAGAGUGUGGCUGGCCUGACACCGAGUCACUCUCGGCUCCCUUUCCGAGCUGCCGGACCCAGCACACAGCAGCACACGGCAUUUCAAAGAAGGGGGCCCUACAUAACUGGAGCUUGGAUAAACAGGUCUGGGGACUCGCUGCAAUGGGAAGAGAUGAUGGGCUUGGGAAUAGGGGUGCAUGUUUCCAAAAAGUGAGUAGAGAUUUACACAGGGCAGUCAGAAUGGCAUUUCUCAAAGUGUGGUCUGUAGACUUUGGGGAAGCACCCUUAAGACCAUUUUAGGGGUGCUGUGGGGACCUCUUUUCCAAUGACAUAUCUAUGUGAUGCCAGAUUUUCUUCAUAGAUGUCAAUUAAAACAACCUGUCGCAAGACCCAGUGCAAAAGCGCAAGUCUGAUAGCCGUCUUCUAGAAAGUGAGACUAAAGAGAGUCACAAAAAUGGGGAGCAACACCACUCUCCUCACUUGGUUUUUCUUUUCCUUUGGAAAAUAUAGUUAUUUUCAUAAAAAUUUAUUUUUUCACUUGUGAACUUGUUAUUUUUUAUUUUGAGACAAGGUCUUGCUCUGUCACCCAGGCUGGAUUGCAGCGGUGCGAUCAUAGCUCGCUGCAACCUUGAACUCCUGGGCUCAAGUGAUGCUCCUGUCUCAGCCUCCAGAGUAGCUGGGACUACAAGCGUGAGGCACUGUAAGGAGCUGCUGUUAUUUUUUUUAGAUGUGAAAACAACCCUAUGAAUGUAACAGCUGGCAUUUUGCAUUCACGUGUGUGCAAGGUAAUGGCAUGGAGUGUACAUGAUCACUGCCACUCACUCGUUGAUGCCUCCCCACAGUUGGACUCACACCUUCACUCUGUAUUCCUGUGCAGUAGGGAAGUCACCCAGUACAUGUUUCCCCCCAGGAGGAAUACACAGAUGCUUUCUCUUCUGAGCUCUGGCCUCCCUGAGAAUUCCUUCAUGUUGAUGACACACCUGAAGACAACCUGGCUCAACAGAAACUCCCUGCAAAAUAUCGCAGACUUGGCUACCCUCUGACUUUCAGUCCUGCAGAUGAGAAUGAGGCUAUCUGAUUUUUGUUUCUUUAGCUGCUUGUUCGGCCCUGGCGCCUGUAGGGCUGUCCUUGCCACAAAACCCCACUGUGCCUACUGGACAGCCCUAGCACACUGUCCUCUUCCUGGGAAUAUCAGUUCAGCAUAUAGGAGGCCUCUGAAGCAACUGAUAUCUCUACAGCAACUUCUCCAAGUCACCAAAGGGACAUCUCAUUCUUGACAUCGCCCAAACUCCUAAAAUCCCUUCCCUGUAUCUUUCUUACUACUCCAACAUCCCCCACUUUCUCAUUUCCACCCUGAAAACCCAGCCAAAAUCUUUCUAAUACAAAUAAACUUAACUUCUCUGGCCAAUCCAGUUCUCAGAUCCAAAAAGCCCCGUAAAAUCCCAGAAAAUAACAAGGGUUGGCAAGAAUGUGAAGAAACUGGAAACUUUGUGCGCUGCUGGUAGGAAUGCAAAAUGGUGCAGCCACCAUGGAAAAUGGUGUGGCAGUUCCUUAAACAAAUUAAACACAGAAUUGCCAUAUGAUCCAGCAAUUCCACUCUUGGGAAUAUAUACCCCAAAGAACUGAAAGCAGGCACUCAAACAGCAGCUAUGUUUCCAGCAGCAUCAUUCACAGUAGCCAAAAGGCGAAAACAAUCCGGGUGGCCAUGAACAGAUGAAUGGGUACACGGAGUGUGGUCUAGCCACGCAACGAAAUAUUAUUCAGCCUUAAAAAGGAAGGGGAUUCCAACACAUGCUACAGCAUGGUGAACCUUGAGGACACAGGGACAAAUAAGUGAAAUAAGCCAGACACAAAAGGACAAAUACUGUCUGGUUUCACUUAUAUGAGGUAUGUAGACUAGUUAAUUCAUACAGACAGAAAGUAGAAUGGUGGGUACUACCAGGGGCUGGGGGGAAGGGAAGGAGGAGUUACUGUUUAAUGAGGACACAGUGUCCGUUUUGCAAGAUGAGAGUUCUGGAGAUCAGCUGCACAGUAAACAGUGUGAAUGUACUUAACACCACUGAGCUGUAUGCUUAAAGAUGGUUGAGAUAGUAAAUUUUAUGUUAUGUGUAUUUUACCACAAAUUUUAAAAGGGGCCAGGCCCGGUGGCUCAUGCCUGUAAUCCCGGCACUUUGGGAGGCUGAAGCAGGAGGACAGCUUGAGCCAGGGAGGUUGAGGCUGAAGUGGGCUAUGACGGUGCCACUGCACUCCAACCUGGGUGACAGAGCCAGACCCCCAGGCAGGCAAACAUAGACACCUUCUUGGGAUAGGAGGGGGCAGGGGAGGGUGCACAUUCUAUCUGGCCAUUCUUUUUCUACCCCUGACACUUGGUUAUUAAACAUUUUUGCCACCAUGUGUCUAGUGGCGGAUCUGUUUCCUUUGGAUUUACUUUCAGGUAUUGGUCUGCAAACACAGACCUUUUUUCAAGCUGUCUCUUCCUCAGGAAAACCAACACUGGCUCUGUGUCUUCUGGAUUUAUCUUUUUUGGUAUUCUGUGCAUGAUACACUUUCAUCCAGGGUUUCCAGUUUGCCUUCCAUGUCACUGAUUUCACAUCCAGCAUCACCGCUCUCACUGCCCCCAAGAAGGAUUGUAAGUCGCCUAGCAUUUCAUUUCCUUGCAAUUCUUAUUUUGCUUGUUAAUCUCCCCUUUCAUCUCAUCCUGUUGGUUUUCUUUUCCAUCACAGCUUGGCCUCUUUGGGUGGCCUUUUGUUCUUUUCCCACAAAGUUCAUUUCUUCUGGAUCGUGCUGUAGAUCAUUUUCAGAGGUCGGGGUUCAGGUUCCAGGGUAUCUAUCCUACGCUCAGGCUUCCCCCCUCCCCAGCUUGUGCACUCUCAAAGAGGCCAAGAUCUAGUGACACCCACGUCUAUCAGCGCAUCCUUGUCCCCAUGACGGCCUCCUUGGGUUGGGACUGAGUCCACCUCUCAGGGCUCUGGCUUGCAGAAGAGUCCAGCCCCAGGAUGAGUCUCAGGCACUGUGCUUAUGUGACUCUGACCUUGAGAAGGGACAUCUUCACCCACUUCAUGGCCUGAAUCUCCAACACUCACAACAGUGAAGUCCAUGGAAAUCUAUAACAAUGUCUGUAUGUUCAGGACACUUCCUGUCCUUGGGUAAGCCCACUGGCUGGCUGCACUGGACUUCUCAGAUGCCAUCUCUUCCCGCCUUGGGAGUUGCUGUCUCUGAACCGAUGCAGACAGAGGCAUGGGAGAGGAUGAAGGGAGAGGGGAGUGGAAGAGCCCUCCUUUUACCUCCAAAUUGUCACUUGCGUGGUACAGGACCAGUUGCCUGGCUUUCUGAUUGGCACAGUCCACAGACUAAGGGAGAAAGUGGCUUCCUCCCUUCCUUCCGGAGGUCUCAGAUUCCUGGGAGGAAGGCUGCAUUGUGUCUUUCUUGGCCCUGCUCCAUGUGUCUAGCAGUGAGGAGGCUCCUCUCAGACUGCCCACCUGUCUUUGUUUCCAGUGUGCUGAGUGUUUGUCUUUUUUUGGUGCAUCGUCUUAGGUGUCUUAGGGGAAAGCUAGGGGAAGCCACAGAGGAGGCCGUCAGCCAUACUCUAUUUUAAACCUCAACUCCCCCCUUCCCUCUUAAACUCAUUUUUAACCCCACUCCCAGAAGGAAGGCCCCGCGGGAAAUUAGCUUUCAUUUGUCUCUCUCCUCCAGGCAUGACUCCACAGUUUCUGCAACAACAGAGCCGGGGAAAGGAGGACGCAGCAAGCGCUGAAUAUUAACCAGCAAAGGUAGAUGCUUCAAUAUCGAAACCACCGGGACCCGCAUGUGCAAAGCUACUUAAUGAGGGUGUAAUCAAACACAGUCUACCAGAAGGAAAUUAAUUAGAGUCCGGAGAGCAAGCAGGAAGCAGAACCAGGCUGCUCCCCCUCCUGGCUCUAGAACAUCACUGGCAGCCACUGCUAAGGGAGGGACAAGGCUGGGGGAUGCCAGGCCUCAGCUGGGUGCCAGGGCUCCUGUCCUCUUCCCCGUGACAUUCCGGCUUGCCUUUGGGGGACACCCAGGGGAGGGAAGGGAAAUGUCAGGUGCUGUUAGGGAAACACAGCCUGAGGAAGCCCCCAGGGAGAGAAGCUGGGACAUCCCAGAGUUAAGGAGCUGGGCACAGAGAAGACUUGCUUCUCUAGGAAGACAAUGGUCUCAUAAGAAGAAGGACGGAAUCAUAAACAACAGAAAUGUAUUCUCUCAUAGUUUUGGAGACCAGAAAUCUGAAAUCAGGGUGUUGGCAGAGCUGCACUCCCUCUAGAGAUUCUAGGGGGAGACUUCAUUCUUUCCCCAUGUGCGACAAGGAAGGGAGGGAUGCCAGGCACAGACCUAUGCACCUAAUGAGAGAAACAGAUACAGGAUGCAGUGGGAUGAAUGGUGGCCCCCAAAAGACAUGCCCAUGCGCUUGUGCCCAGAAACUGUGAAUGUGACCUCAUUUGGAAAAAGGGUCUUCACACACAGAUUACCUUCAGGACCCUGAGAUGAGAUGAUCCUGGUUUAUCCAGGUGGGCCCUGAAUCCAAAACAAGUGUUCUUACAAGAGACACAGAGAAGGCAGCAAUGUGAAGGUGGAGGCAGAGAAGGGAGUGAUGCGGCCACAACCACCAGAAGCUGGAAGGGAGAAAGAGUGAAAUCUCCCCUGGAAUCUCUGGAUGGACACGGCCCUGCCGACACUCUCAUCUCAGACUUCUGGCCUCCAAACCAUGAGAGAAUAUGUUUCGGUUGGUCCAAGUCACUCAGCCAGUGGUCAUUGGUUACGGCAGCCCCAGGAAAUGAAUGCACCAGAUUGGAUCAGGACAGAGGUGGCAUUUUUCCCAGGGGCACACCAGGCAAAAGGGAGAAGAGAUCAAGGCAAGUGGCCGGGACCCCUCCCUUCUUCCACAGCUGCAGACCUCAGCCAAGAGCACAGCUGUGGGCAACCAAGGACGUUAUUGCCAGAAAUCAACUUGCUGUCUCCACCAGCCCUGAAGCCUCUGUGGGUACACUCUCCUUUGCUGUCUGCUCCCAGGGGCAGGGCUGUACUAGUCAGAAAUGCUUCCUAUAGGAUCCCCAAGGUGGUUCUCAGCUCAACAUGGGAAAGAACCUUUAAAAACAGGUGAUGAAGGAAAUGCUGACACUGUCCACGACAAGGAUGAGGCUUGAAGACUCCACUAAGAGAAAUAAGCUCGGAACGAGAGGACAAAUACCGCAUGAGGCCACUUACGUGAGGGACCAAGAGUAUCUAAUCAUUCAAAGUACUCAAAUUCACAGAGACAGAGGGUAAAAUGGCAGUUGCUGGGACUGGGGAAGGGGGAAUUCGUGUUGGGUGGGGACAGGGUUUCAGUUUGAGGAAGAUGAAAGAGUUCUGGAGAUGGAAGGUGGUAAUGGUUGCACAGCAAUAUGAAUGUGCUUAAUGCCACUGAACUGUGCACCUAAAAUGGUUAAAACGGUAUUUUAUAUUUGUAUAUUUUAUCGUAAUAAAAAAAUAGUGCUGAGCUCACUGUCACUGGAAGGAUACAAGCAGAGGAGAGACACUCAUCAGCCGGCACUGCUGAGGCAGGAUUUCUGGACCACAAGGAAGGUGGCCACUAAGGGUUGCCCUCUGGCCCCCUGUGACUCUUCUCAUCAGCAUGGCCCAGGAUGCAGCAUCCUGGCAUCCAAGGAGGUGCCACUAAGUAGCUACAAGAUGUGGGGCCUGGCGAGAGGAACCACAAAAGAACGCAGAAAAAAAAAGCAACAAAAAGCCAGUGACAAAGCUGCGUGGAUGGCGGAAGGCGAGCAGGAGUUUGGUGAUGCAGUUUGAAGACCGGGACUGAGACCCCCCCACUGGAGGGGUACGUGGGGUGCAAAAGCAGAAGUGGCACCAGUGGGCUUGACUGCUCCAGAGAGGGGCAUUGCUCCUCAGUGCAGCAACAAGGCGCCUUUAGCCCCCUUGUCGUUUUUGGCCCCAAAAGUGCCACAGUUACACAGGGUGGCCCUGGAGCAAAGUGAGUGCUAAUGCGCUGGGGCAUACGGAAAUCUGGUAUUUCACACAUUUGUCAUGUUAAGGAGAAUUAGGCGUAUCAGAGUAUCUAACAGAUUGGCCUUCCAAUCCCCAUUUAAAACGGGUAAUUGAGUAGCUGAUUUUAAGCUUAUGAUUUUAAGCAGAACACCGGAAGUGGAUUCAGCCAAGUUUGUAAGUUUUGAAAUGUUUCAGAGAACUAAUAGUCAUCAUAUUUAUCAGCUUAUUAAAUUUCAAGAACUAUUUAGGAACCCAGGAAAGUCCUGCUUUUUAGGAUGAGUAUUUAUAAACUUAAGAACACUGGUUAUGUUAAAUUUAUAAAGUUACAUCAAGAUAUUUAAAGAAAUUUAAUUACUUAAGUUAUAAACCCCCUACCCUUGAACAUCGACAUUUAAAUGGACUAGAUUCGUGAGGGGAAUAAUGAAAUUGGUAUGUUAAAUGCUUCAGGAAACACUAGGUUUAAAAAUUUCCACUUCAAUAUAUAUUGAAUAUUGAGAAAAUUCAAGUCGUUGUAAGUAGUCUGUGUGUGUGUGUGUGUGUGUGCGCGCGCGCCCCAAGAAUAACUAAUGACAGAUAAUGCAGAUGAGGUGGGCACCCUGCAGAGUCCAGGGCAGGGAGCAUCAGCACAGCUAGACAGGGAGGACUAUGCAGUUAAGAGCCCGAGGCACACUGCUCAGGCUUGGAAGACACCAAAGCAAAGCAGACUAGCAAAAGUAAUAAAAGCAACUGCUACAUCCCCUCCCCCUAACAAAACCACUGGACGGCAUGGGAACCCUGUUUGAAGGUGAGGCCUCCUCACAGUCCUGCUGAUGUCUAAGGUGGGCAUUGCCCGGCUCCUGGUCCCAGUCUUGGGGGUUGCCUCUCGAGGGCACCCUGGCUUGGUGCCCGCCACCCCCACAGGCCUGUGAGUUUGGUACCCAAGGAGGUGUCCAUUAGCACCCAGCUGACCGAAGUCAGCCAGAUGCUGCCAGGGAGGGCUGCUCUGCAGAGGUCUGAGCCAAGAAACUGCUGGUGGGGGGUCAUUGGCACCCACUCCCCGCUCCACCAGACUUGCCCAGCCUGUCUGAGGGAUGAGAGGUAAAGACUGGGGUUCUCUGGUCCCACCUGAGGGUCCAGGGGCAGCUCAUGACUCUCCCACCUGUCCAAGGCCACGUGGCCCCUGCAGGUUUUUGAAGCCAGGCACCCCGGCAGGCUGGCCCUCCUCGACGGUGACGAGUGUUGCCACCAGGUCUGCCUUGCCCAGCAGGAGUCAGCGGGCUGGGCAGCGAUGUUUGGCAGCUUUGCUCAGUGAGGGGCUUCAUGACUGUGUGUUGUUUGUGUUUUAACUUUGAAGUCUUAAAAAAUGACACCCUCUGUGUGAAACAGGCCUCUGGAAACAGAUGCCCAGCCGUUGCCAAGUGUAACUUAAUUAAAAUCCGAGAAACGGCUUUAGCAACAAAUAAAUAUCAAAAGGAUGCUUUCUCUUCAGAAUAAUCUAAAGUAAGUUGGGAGGCGCAUCAAGCCAUAUGAAGGGUUUUGUCUGCUCCUCCAUGGUCAUGGCUCUGCCCACACGUGGCUGACGGUGGGGGACAGACGUGGGUUAGAUCCUAAGUCACUGUGUGGCCCUGGGCAAGCCACCCUCCUACACCACAGCUUCCCCACCUACAAAUGAGAAGGUUGCACCAGCUCAUUCUUCCAGAGUUGGAGAGGGCAGCAGAAGAGGGACUUGGACCAAAUAGGUUUGGAACACAAAGAAUUCAACAAAUAACCAUUUUCCUUUUCCUGCUGGACGUUUCAGCUACUGUUUUAUGACUCCGAAAGGGUGGUGGCAUUUGCAGUAUUUCCCAGAUUUAUUUCCCAAGCACCUCCCCUGCUUCCCCAGGACCUCUUGUGGGACUCAGAUUCUGCAGUAUGCCUGGGGCCAGAUGGUCUCUGAGGUCCACAGGCCCCUACAUUCCACAAAUUCUCAGCACUUUGUCACCCAUCCCAGCGCCCUCCUAAUCUCUCUGCUUGGGAAAUUAUCUGAAUCGGUUGUUUAUACCUUCUGGCAAAUGCAUUCAAGUCCAUUUGUCCCUCUCUGCAGUACAUUCUGCCCAAGUGAAAUGAAACAUUUGGUUCAUCCUGAGGCCGGGCGCGGUGGCUCACGCCUGUAAUCCUAGCACUUUGGGAGGCCGAGGCAGGUGGAUCACGAGGUCAGGAGAUGAGACCAUCCUGGCUAACAUGGUGAAACCCCGUCUCUAUUGAAAGUACAAAAAAUUAGCCGGGCGUGGUGGUGGGCGCCUGUAGUCCCAGCUACUCGGGAGGCUGAGGCAGGAGAAUGGCGUGAACCCAGGAGGCGGAGCUUGCAGUGAGCCAAGAUUGUGCCACCGCUGCACUCCAGCCUGGGCAACGGUGCAAGACUCCGUCUCAAAAAAAAAAAAAAAAGAGAGAAACAUUUGGUUCAUCCUCAAAGGAUUUUCAGGUAAAAUGGCAAAGAGGUAGAGGAACGACUUAGAGGAUCCUUCUGGCUCCCUAACAACCUGAGUUCCAAGCAGGAGUGUCUUCAUAGGAACAGCCCAUUUCUCAGAGUGAAAAGCUGGGGGCUGGAAGGUUGUCUCAUACAGUGAGCUAGUGGCAGGGAUGGGGCGCUCCAGAGCCCCUAGAAAUUUCUGACUCUGCCUCUAUGAGCCCUUGGAAGUUAAGUAUUAGCCAGGGUUCUCUCGAGACACAGAACUGAUAAGAUGUGUGUGUGUGUGGAGAGAGAGGAAGGAAUUGAUUUAUUUUAAGGAAUUGGCUCACAUGAUUGUGGGGGCUGGCGAGUCUGAAAUCUGCAGGGCAGGCUGGGAAGCUGGGGACCCAGGAAGGAGCUGGCAGUGCUGUCUGGAGUCUGAAGGCAGAAUUUCUUCUUCCUCAGGGACCUCUCUUUUCUCUUGGAGCCUUCAACUGAUUGAAUGAGGCUCACCCAUAUUAUGGAAAGUAAUCAGCUUUUAUCCAUUUAUGCUUUUGAGACAGAGUCUCUCUGUCACCCAGGCUACAGUGUGGUGGUGUGAUCCUAGCUCACUGCAGCCUGGAACUUCUGUACUCCUGUAGUCCCGCUAUUUGGGAGGCUGAUCCUCCUGCCUCAGCCCCCUGAAUAGCUGAGACUACAGGUACGUGCUACCACACCAGCUAAUUAAAAAAAAAAAUUUUGUAGAAACGGGCUGAGCACGGUGAUUCACGACUAUAAUCCCAGCACUUUGGGAGGCUGAGGUGGGCGGAUCACCUGAGGUCCAGAGUUUGAGACCGGCCUGGUCAACAUGGUGAAACUCCCUCUCUACUAAAAAUAUAAAAAUUAGCUGGGUGUUGGCCGGGCAUGGUGGCUCAUGCCUGUAAUCCCAGCACUUUGGGAGACCGAGGUGGGUGGAUCAUGAGGUCAGGAGAUCUAGACCAUCCUGGCUAACAUGGUGAAACCCCAUCUCUACUAAAAAAUAAAAUAAAAAUUAGCUGGGUGUGAUGGCAGGUGCCUAUAGUCCCAGCUACUUGGGAG
rnacentral:lncRNA from 1 species